rnacentral:rRNA from 1 species
AAACUUUCAACAACGGAUCUCUUGGCUCUGGCAUCGAUGAAGAACGCAGCGAAAUGCGAUAAGUAAUGUGAAUUGCAGAAUUUAGUGAAUCAUCGAAUCUUUGAACGCACAUUGCGCCCCCUGGUAUUCCGCGGGGCAUGCCUGUUCGAGCGUC